AAAUAUCUAAGCGACAUAUUGCGAAACAAAUGUUUAUCGCAAGAACAAAAUUAGGCGGAGAAAAAAAAAAAAAAAAAAAAUAAUAAUAAUCAGAACAAAAACAAUAAGUCUUUCCACAGAAAAGUGGAAAGACUUAAUAAAAAUAUAAAGCAAUUGUUUCAAAAACAAUUGUUAGGCAGUCUUUCCCCUAUGAUGAAUGGAUAAUUGAUUUUUUUUAUUGAUUGAUUUGGAAAAAAGGGGGGGGGUAUUUGUUUAUUUGUUUGUUUGUUUGCUUUGGUAUGGGGUCUAUAUUAUUAUGUUACCGGAGAAGUUUCAUGUUUAGUUUGGAAAGUUUUUCUUUUAUUUUAGAUACAGCGCGCGCGCAAGAUUGAGGAGACAUCACGUGACGCGGGUUUAUAUUAAGAAAACUUAGUCUUUUUAUUUCUUUUUAGGUCGGGACUUUGAACAGACAACAUCUAUAGAGAUGGAAUGUACACAAUGUAAUUUCUUUUGUCAUUGUAGGAAAUUGACAUUUUGAUCACAGUUCACCAGCAGUGCAUGUUUUGGAUUUAAUCGAUCCGGUGUAACUUUAAAACACAUUUAAUGAUUAUUUUUGAUAAUGUCCAUUUUUCAGCACCUGUUUGUAACACAGAUUAGUAUUUCAAUCUCGGAGCGGACAUUUUAUUGUAGGUUUUUACUGAGAUUUACGGACCUAGCAAGCGAUUUUUACGGCAUUGCCAUUCUUUUUUCUAGGAAAAGUCUUGAGAGAUAUCUGCAAAAAGUUUUUUUUAUGAACCUUCAGUACAUGUAUGCCCUGCUGACUGCAAAUUUUCAGGUCGAUUGGACUUGUAGUUUCAGAGAAUAUGUGGAUUUUUUUUCAGAAGAGACGUAAGAACAAUAAUAAAAUAAAAAUUUUCUUGAAUAAUUGAGAGUUUGUUCCUUCAAUAUACUGUCAUAAAUAAACAGUCAUACAUAUUGAUUGAUUGAUUAGUUGGUUGAUGAUUGAUUGAUUGGUUGGUUGGUUGGUUUGUUGUUGGUUGGUUGAUUAAACACGUUUGAUAGGGUCACUUAGAACAAGGGAAAAAAAACUCAAGAGACCUUGCAUCCCGUAUUAAACGCAUGACACGGAAACAUACAUUAAGUGAUUGAUUGGUUGGUUGGUUGGUUGGUUGGUUGGUUAAACACAUUGGUUAAACAUGUUGGUUUAACACGUUGGUUAAACACGUUGGCUGGUUAAACACGUUUGAUGGGCUCAAUUUAAACAAGCGAAAAAAAAACAUCUUGGAUCCCGUAUUUAACACAUGAAACGGAAACAUGCAUUGAUUUAUUUAUUGGUUGGUUGGUUGGUUGGUUGGUUAAACACGUUGGUUAAACAUGUCGGUUAAACACGUAGUUUAAACACGUUGGCUGGUUAAACACGUUUGAUAGGCUCAAUUUUAACAAAGCGAAAAAAAACCAUCUUGGAUCCCGUAUUUAACACAUGAAACGGAAACAUGCAUUGAUUGAUUGAUUGAUUGGUUGGUUGGUUGGUUGGUUGGUUGGUUAAACACGUUGGUUAAACACGUUGGUUAAACAUGUUGGUUAAACACGUUUGAUAGGCUCAAUUAAAACAAGCGAAAAAAAAGAAACCUUGGAAUCCCGUAUCAAACACAUGAAACGGAAACAUUGAUUGAUUGAUUGAUUGAUUGGUUGGUUGGUUGGUUGGUUGGUUGGUUGGUUGGUUGGUUGAAAUUCAAACACUCAUAAAACUGUUUAAAUAGUGCCAAAACCACAUAAUUUGAUGACCUUGACCUUUGACCUUGUGACCUUCGUCAAGGUCAUUGCUCCACAAGGUCAUUGCAAAAGACCCUAUGGGUCAAGGACCUUUUGUUUAAGAGUUUUGCCUAAAAAUGGCUUUUUAAAAACCAUCGAUGGGAGUUAUGUCCCUUAUAUGAUGGUAAAAUCAAUAUAGUCAUAAUGUAAAAAAGUUGCCCCUUAAAGUACCAAGCAUUUUUCACUGCUUAAUUUUUUUGUAUCUAUAACCGUUCAAGAAUUAUAGGGAAAUGAAAAACUUAUAAAAAUCUAAAAUAUGACCUUGACCUUUGACCUUGACCUAAUUUUCUAAGUUAGGACCCAGGGGACUCAAAUAAAAACAUUCCAGGGUUAUACGGUUAACGGUUUAGGAGUUUAAAAAACAUACCGACAAAUUUAUUCCGUAAAGGUAGAUAACUCCUAUAAAAUUUCAUCAAAUCGCUUCGAUCCAAAUACGCCAAAAAUUACUGAAGAUGUAACGAACAGUUUGUAAAAAGAAUUUUGUCGCUUUCUUAUUUUGUUACGAAGGAGAUGCACACAGAGGAUAAACAGUGAAAAGGGAGAUAACUCUUACAUAGAAAAUGGUUCGCCUUAGCAGGGUCAAAUUUAAAAGCGCAUAAACUAUACGAUACCAUAUGAAAUAUCUAAGCGACAUAUUGCGAAACAAACAUUUAUCGCAAGAACAAAAUUUGACGGAAAAAAAAAAAAAAUAAUAAUAAUUAAAAACCAAUUGUUCAGAGAACAAUUGAAAGUCUUUCCAAACUAAAGUAAUUUGGAUAAGAAGGUAGUUUCUUUAUACUGAUGCGAUAAAUGAUGGUUUAAUUAUAUUUUUGAGUGAUAUAAGGGAGAUAAUAUGCUACUUCCGGUGAAAUGAAUGUCACAUCCGGUCUCAUAUGAUAGCUUCUUUCACACUGAUUCCAAAAAUAUAUAGUUUCUAUAUACUUUUGUAUGUAGAAUGGGAGAUAAUUGGCCACUUCCGGUUUGUUGGAAGUCAUUUUUAGUCUUCAGUAAUCUGUUCAUGUAUCUAUAUGACAAAAUAUAUGGAUUCUG
rnacentral:lncRNA from 1 species